rnacentral:lncRNA from 1 species
CGCCUUUUCAUAUUUUGAAUUCUUUAUUACAUAUGGGAACACUCUUAAAGAGACCUCUCAAAGUUAUUUUCUAAAGACUCUCCUUUUUUACAUUGUCUCUAGAGCUGGAAAUAGAUCCACUUGAAUGGGCAAGGAAAAUAUCGGUGCACUCCAUUAGUAAGGAAUAACUUUAGAAGGAAAAUGCAUCAGGACCAACCAAGGUGAAGAGUUCUAGCUCUGUGCCUGAUAUGAUUAUGAAACAAUGUCGGUGUUGUAAUGUUGUAAUGAUGAUUUUGAUGAUUCACAAACCUAUUGAAGGGACCUGGUACCUAUGAUGGACUUUUUCCAAAGUCAACAAUCCAACUAUAUAUAAAGGGCCAUUUAUUUUAUUUAGACCUAAUAUGCAUGUGCAAAGCACGUACACUUAACUAGUUAUAUUAAGAGAACCACA